GACGAACGCUGGCGGCGUGCUUAACACAUGCAAGUCGAGCGGUAAGGCCCUUUCGGGGGUACACGAGCGGCGAACGGGUGAGUAACACGUGGGUGACCUGCCCUCAGCUCUGGGAUAAGCCCGGGAAACUGGGUCUAAUACCGGAUAUGACUCCACGGUGCAUGUCGUGGGGUGGAAAGCCUUGUGCGGCUGAGGAUGGGCCCGCGGCCUAUCAGCUUGUUGGUGGGGUGAUGGCCACCAAGGCGACGACGGGUAGCCGGCCUGAGAGGGCGACCGGCCACACUGGGACUGAGACACGGCCCAGACUCCUACGGGAGGCAGCAGGUGGGGAAUCUUGCGCAAUGGGCGAAAGCCUGACGCAGCGACGCCGCGUGAGGGAUGACGGCC
rnacentral:rRNA from 1 species